ACUAGGGCUUAUUCAAACAAACACCAGACUACGUAAACUCUAACUGAAAAACCUCGACUCCAAGCAACAAACUCCUUCAGGCAGAGUAGAGAAAGGAAAAGAUGAAUGAAAAUAAUGAAGAGGAAGAGCCUUUGGGAUUUUGAUCCAAUCUGAUCAAAAUUUCAAGUUGUGCGACAGAGGUCAGCUCCGGAGUUUCCAAGAGAAAGGAUGAGUAUUUCAAAGCUUAUUACGCUGCUUUAAUACAAAGAGUCUUCAGGUUGGCAUGACGUCAAACUUCGAAGAUGAAGGACACGAUAAUGUUGACUGGGAAGAGGCUCCAGUUGCAGAUGCAUGAGAGCUUUCCAACUAUUGAAGAAAGAACAUACAAUUCUAAAAAAGAGGCUCAAGGCUUAUUUGCAAGUGAUGAUCAAUGCCGCUCAACUUUAGUUUUUUAUUUUGGUGUAUAUAUUGAAAGUUAAUUGUACUAUAUGAAAGUUCAGAGUCGAUCAAUAAAAUAGAGGCAGAGCAUGAACCUGAGCUUCAGAGGGGCUAAACAUGAAUACUUCUACUUUGGAUGGAAGAUUAACUUAUCUUGAUGAGAACAUGAGUUGUAGGACUGCUACAUGUUUUCUACAACGUACUGUAUGUGCUUGAUGGAGAUAGCAAGGCAAGCUGGGCCAACUGAGACUGGAAGUUGUCCUAAGUGAGAGGAAACUAAUCAACAUGCAAAAGGUUGCGAAGAAGUUAUGUGGCAGAAUGUGUAGUUGGUGGAUUUUGUACUACAUAUAUGUAUUCCUACCUAGCUUUGAAUUAAGGAAUGUUUAGAGGACCUGGGUGCUUUUGGAUACCAAUAUCCAGUUUUCCAUGUAAGCUUCUUUGGUUUCUUUCGCUCAGAUGGCAAGGCAAACUACAAUGAAAUCAGUGCUUGAAAUCAUUAUAGACCAUAAACUAGGUAUACUAUUAUACUCUAUCAAUAAGGUCAGUGCUUGCAAAUCACUGUUAUGUAACUAUUUGUACAACAAAUGUAUAAAGCUUAGCAAGCAAACUCACCCGCGGCA